GUACGAACUGACGCCGAGCACUUCGGAUCCGGGGGCUUCCUCCCUCUCGUUUCGGCAUGGAGGAGAAGGAGGAGGAGAUGAUGCCGGGGCGGGCAGCAGCAGCAGCAGCAGCGGGAGGAAGAAGCAGGAGGGACGGAUGCUGAGGGAGGCUGCACGCCGCGGCUGCCGAUGAAGAGGAGUGAUGGUGUUGGGGAGGGGGAAGAGGGGGGACUCCGCUGAGCCUCGAAAGCGUGAUUUUAGUGCUGGUUGUCCACCUCUUCUGGACAGGAAAAUGCCGACAACGUCAGCCCUGAAGUUUGCAUCAACUUUCAGUGAAGACAGAGUGCCACCAGACAAGAUGAGGAGCAGCUUGCAGAUGGAAACAAGGGUGGGUGGUUGGAAGGCUGGAUAAAGGCUGGUAGAUGACUGAACUCAGAGACCCGGCGCAGCUCAUCAUCAUUGCCACGGGCUCUCGUCUUCCUCCUCUCCUCCUGUGGCCCCGUACCUCCAUCCAGGGGUCCAGCAGAGCCAGCGAAGCCCAAGCGGGGAGCUAGUGAGUGGGCUGGGAAGGAUGGAGAAGGUCCCCGAAGGCGAGAAGCACCUCUGGAGCUACCGGCAUGCAGGAGAAAUCAAUACCAAACACAGAGCCUGCACAGCUCUGAGUGGGGUUUCCUGUGUUAGUCUGUGGCCUAGGGGCCCGCAGACCUCCAAAGGACAGGCCCUGCGUGGCCCUCUCAGCUGCAGCCCCGACUCCUUAGACUGGACCUCAGUCCCGAACUCCACUGGCUGUGUGUGGUUCUGCUGAAGGGGAUCACUCCCCAAAUAAUACCCAGAAUGCUGAGAGACCGCCAAGAGGGAUAUUCCUUUCUCUUGAUUUUUUCUCCCCUUCAUAAGAUUGACAUAUCCCCCACCUUCUGCCUCUGGCUGUUUAAAAACCAGUUUGGGAGUUCUGCUUUUGACUGGCUCUCCAUCCUCGACUCGCCCGUUGUUUAUUCCCCAAACAGUUUUUACAUUUGACAAAGAGACAGUACGAUCUUUAUUUUCUCCUCCACUCUUGGCUUGCUGUUACUAUGGUGAGCUGUCUGUUAAAACCAGAAACACUGGCAUAUGAAGCAUGAUCUUUUUUUUUUAUUUUUUUACCUUCGUGAUGCCUGUUAUUCAAUUCCAGCACAGCAAAGAGGGCAGACGAUCACAGAGCAAAGAGACCUUCCCACCUUGUAGUGGAGAUGGU